GGCUUGUGGCAGCCAAGCGUUCA
rnacentral:snRNA from 1 species